rnacentral:lncRNA from 1 species
UGACGUUGGCAGAAGUAUACAGAGAUGAUAGAGAUGAAGAUGGAUUUUUAUAUAUGACUUAUGCUUCACAAGAAAUGUUUGGAAAUUGUUUGAAAUGAUGACAUUAAUGUAUUUUUUCAUUGAAAUGUCUUAUAAAAAGGUGGCAUGCACUGGUUCAUUCUAUUUUGAUCUGAAAUUUAAUAUAUUGUGAAUAUUUCUCAUCAUGAAAUAAUGAUAAUUCAUGUUGAUUGUCAUGGAUUUAUUGUGUUAAUGUUUAUCAUUAUGUAUAUCUAUAUUUGAAUGCAUAGUAUUCCCUUAUGGAAAGAUGCAUACAUGAAAUGAACAAAAUAAUAACAAAAAAGUACAUAAUACAUUAUAAGGGUAUACAAGUACAAUGCAUAAUAUCAGUACAUGUUUAAUUGGCGGAGGCAUUUUUUUCUGAUUUUGGUAAGGCAUGUACAGUGCCUAUCUAACAAUUGCUUAUAGAUAUAUUUAGAGUCUUGUUUCGAUGUUUAUCAUAAUCAACAGAUGAUUAAGACACCAGAAUUGAAAAUCUACAAUUCAAUAUAACUGGUAUAAUAAAUUUUUGAAAAUGUCAUUAUAUAGCAAUGGGAGAAUGGUUAGUCAAAAACAAUACAGAUGCUGUAUCUAACACUUGCUUUGAAUAUGUCACAACACAUGUACCCAUCAAUACCAUAUUUUUUGUUAGAUACUGGUGUUUUUAUUCGACUGCAAAAAUUGAUUUUUUUUGGUCGUAUAUUGGUAUGACGUUGGCGUCAUCGUCGUCGUCAUCCGAAGACAUUUGGUUUUCGCACUAUAACUUUAGUAUAAGUGAAUAGAAAUCCACGAAACUAACACACACAAGGUUAAUUACCAUAAAAGGAAGGUUGGGAUUGAUUUUGGGAGUUUUGGUACCAUUAGUUUAGGAAUUAGGGGCCAAAAAGGGCCCUAAUAAGCAUUUUUCUUGGUUUUCGCACAAUAACUUUAGUAUAAGUAAACAGAAAUCUGAAAUUUUAACAUAAGGUUUAUGACCACAAAAGGAAGGUUGGGAUUGAUUUUGGGAGUUUAUGGUUCCAAAAGUUAAGGAAUUAGGGGCCAAAAGGGUCCAAAAUUAACUUUGUUUGAUUUCAUCAAAAAAUGAAUCAUUGGGGUUCUUUGAUAUGCCAAAUCUAACUGUGUAUUUAGAUUCUUAAUUUUUGGUCCUGUUUUCAAAUUGGUCUACAUUAAGGUUCAAAUGGUCCAAAAUUGAACUUAGUUUGAUUUUAACAAAAAUUGAAUUCUUGGGGUUCUUUGAUAUGCUGAAUCUAAACAUGUACUUGGAUUUUUGAUUAUGGGCCAAGUUUUCAAGUUGGUCUAAAUUGGGGUCCAAAAUUAAACUUUGUUUGAUUUCAACAAAAAUUGAAUAUAUUGGGUUCUUCAAUAUGCUGAAUCUAACCAUGUAUUUAGAAAUUUUAAUAUUUGGGCCUGGUUAUCAAAUUGGUCCACAUUGAGGUCUAAAGGGUCUAAAAUUGAACAUUAUUUGAUUUCAUCAAAAAUUGAAUUCUUGGGGUUCUAUGAUAUGCUGAAUCUAACCAUGUAUUUAGAUUUUGGAAAUUGGACCAUAUUAAAUAGGUAAAUGUCCAAUUGAAAACUUUUAAGUUUUUAAGUUUAAGUUCUUAGACCACAUUCAUUCUGUGUCAGAAACCUAUGUUGUGUCAACUAUUUAAUCACAAUCCAAAUUCAGAGCUGUAUCAAGCUAAAAUGUUGUGUCUAUACUUGCCCCAACUGUUCAGUGUUUCGACCUCUGCGGUCGUAUAAAGCUGUGCCCUGCGGAUCAUCUGGUUUUAUGUUGCUGCAGAAAUUCUGCACACGUCCCAUGCACUUUUGUCUGAAUACUGAAUGUAUUUGGUAUAAAUAUGCGAAUAUUAUUGAGCAUUUCUUCAAUGAAUAUUCAUGAAAAUAUUAUUUAAGAACAUAAAUAAAUAAUAUGAAAAUAUUUGUCAUGAGAAAUAUAUAUAUAUGUAUAAGUAAAAAACCAUUAAUAUCUAUGCACAUGUACAGAAAAAUUUUGUUUGCAGAUAAAUAUCCGAAAAACAUAUUCCAACAACAGUAGGAGUGUACAUAUCUGUCUAUCAGGUAUCAUAUUAUCGCCUGCCAACAUAACUUGUGGUCAUUCGAUGUUCAGUACUUCAGUACUUUGAUUUGUAUGUGCCUUAAUCAUUGACAAACAAAUAUAGUCAAGGAAUAAACUGUUUGUUUUACCACUACAUUCCUUAGCCAAGUUUUAAUAUUUGAUGUUUCAUGUGGGAAGAAAACUAAAAAAAUCAAUGUAUUUAUUUCUGUAAAUUCAACAAGUAAAUAUGUUCAACAGGUUUUAAAAAAAACAAUUUUGCCAGUUAUUGUUAAAUUUAGACGUACCCGAAUGAACACAUUAGAAGCAAUUCAAUAUUUAAUACCUUAAAGUUACCCCAAUACUUGAAUAAGUAUUCUAAAAUCUUCUUAUGAAUGAAGUAUAAUUAUGUAUCUAUUUGGAAAAGUUUUUUUGAUGUUCUCAGAUGACACAACUAUUGAAAGUUUUAUUGUUGUGACCCCCAAAAUAAUCAAUCUUUAUUUUGAAGACAAGAAAACAAAAAUUCCUGUAAAGGACCAAGAGGUUGUGUGACACAUUAUUUCAUCACAAUGUGUCAGUCAUCUGUUGUACAUCAUGAACAUUUUCUCCUAUGAAACCACUUCCUCAGUUGGAACCUAAAUAGGUAAAGAUCAUUCUAAAGGUAUCUAGUUUCACAGUUUACCAAUCUUCUUGACAAUCAGCCAGUGUUACAACCGCUUCUAAAACUAACAAAGAAAAAAAAAUAUGAGAAGUUGAAAUUGCAACUAGAAUGUUAGUCAAUCAUAUGUUGUAUCAUCCCUUUAGAUCCAUAUCCUUCACCUCCAUCAAACUUAGCUAUCAACUUUGCUGAAAGUUUAACAUUUUAUCCAUAUAAAAAAAAAUAUAUGAAAAGUGACUGGUUAAAUUGUUCACGAGGCACUUUAUAAAUUUAAUUGAUAAUCUUCAUUAUCAAAAAAAGAAAUAAAGCUGCCAUAUUUUUGUUUUAACUUAAAAUCUUUCAAAGAAUCAAUUAAUACAAAACAUGUUUAUAAGGAAGGAAUAAAUUUCAACCUUCCAUUUUGAAUAAUGGUUCGAUAACUACAGCUCCUAUUUAGCAUGACCUAUUCCAUGACUAAAAUGAAAAAUAGGAGUUAACUGAACCUAACUUAGUACUGGCAUUAAAUGUUUUAGCAAUAUUUUUAUAUCUGGGAGUUAUCUUCCCAUGUUGUGUCAAGAUACGAAAUUUGGAGAGUGAUACUCUUCUAUGGGCCUCCAUUUAAGACUUGAAUCAUUGACAAUAAAUAUAUUUGUAACUGUUAGCAACUGUACAUGUUCUGUCUUUCAUUCAUUCAGGGAAUGGUUAUAUAGUGCAAUUAUUUGUGGAGUUGUACAUAAUUCAUCUUUACAUAUAUAAUUAAAAUAAUUUUUAAAUUGCAUAGUUUUUAGUUCCUAUGUAUUGAGUCUGCAUUCAAAUUUUUUCCCAAAAAAGAGGGGACCGGACCCCCUGGCCCCACCUAAAUCCGCCUCUGCUACCACAAAGUGGUCUGGGCUAUAACAUUUUUAUACCCCACGCAACGAAGUUGCUGAGGGUAUAAUGUUUUUGACCCGUCCGUCCGUCAGUCCGUCAGUUUCUUGUCAUCGCAACUCCUCUCAAACCACACUACAGAAUUUCACGAAACCUUUUCAGAUAAUAAGGACAAACUAUGUAGUUGUGCAUAUCGACGGGAAAUUGCGAUUCAAUUUUUUUUUCUAGGAGUUACGCCCCUUUGAACUUAUUUACUUUAAUGUACUACUGCAACAGUUUGUCAUCGCAACUCCUCUCAUACCACACAACAGAAUUUCACGAAACCUUUUCAGAUAAUAAGGACAUACUAUGUAGUUGUGCAUAUCGACGGGAAAUUGCGAUUCAAUUUUUUUCUAGGAGUUACGCCCCUUUGAACUUAUUUACUUUAAUGUACUACUGCAACAGUUUGUCAUCGCAACUCCUCUCAUACCACACAACAGAAUUUCACGAAACCUUUUCAGAUAAUAAGGACAUACUAUGUAGUUGUGCAUAUCGACGGGAAAUUGCGAUUCAAUUUUUUUUCUAGGAGUUACGCCCCUUUGAACUUAUUUCCUUUAAUGUACUACUGCAACAGUUUGUCAUCGCAACUCCUCUCAAACCACACAACAGAAUUUCAUGAAACUUUGUAGAUAAUAAGGACAUACUAUGUAGAUGUGCAUAUCAACAGGAAAUUACGGUUCAAUUUUUUUUCUAGGAGUUAUGCCCCUUUGAACUUAUUUGCCUCAAUGUACUUCUGCAACAGUUUGUCAUCUCAACUCCUCUGAAAACACACAACAAAAUUUCAUGAAAUUUUGUAGAUAAUAAGGACAUACUAUGUAUAUUGACAGAAAAUUAUUAUUCAAUAUUUUUUCUUAUACAAUUUUUUUUUCUUAUACUUAUUUAAUUUUUUUAGUAUGCAAUUCUGUCACAUAAAGCUCUGGGGGUAGCAUUACCUACUUAUUUAAAAAAAAAAAACAACAGCAAAUUGAUUUAGGUUAAAACAGAUAACAAGGAACUGAACAGGAGUAAAACGUAUAACAUUAAAUGAAAUAUUAAAAUCAGUCUAGUCUAGGACAAAUCCAGUAUAUCUUAUUAUAAUCCUUUGUUAUGAAUUCCAUUUUCUAUGAACACAUCUUUAUUAUACCACCUCAAAACAAAUAUUUUGCGGUCGUAUAUUGGUAUCACGUUGUCCUCAUCUGUCUCGUCCGAAGACAGUUGGUCCCGGACAAUAACUUGAGUAUGAGUGAAUAGAAAUCCACGAAAUUUACACACACAAGGUUUAUAACCACAAAAGGAAGUUUGGGAUUGAUUAUUGGGGUUAUGGUCCCAACAGUUUAGGAAUUAGGGGCUAAAAAGGGGUCAAAAUAAACGUUUUAGUAGUUUCCUGUCAAUAACUUGUGUUGAAUUAAGUGUAUGAAUCUUUCUGAAAUUAUACCACAAAGGGAUGGUUAGAAUUGUCUUUGGGAGAAUAUAGCUUUAGGAGUUUGGACAAAAAAAGGAGGAAAAACAAGAGUUUCCUAGUUAAUGGACAAUUAAGAUAAUGUUAAAGCAGUGUCAGGGAGGUAAUCCAAUCACAUCGUGGGAAGGGACUAUUUUUUCUCCUGUCAGAUUUUAGUAAUUAGAAAGAAAAGUUCUAAUUAUUUAUACGAAUUUUUGCGGUCGUAUAUUGGUUUCAUGUCGUCGUCAGCGUCGUCCGAAGACGGAUGGUUUCCGGAUAAUAACUUUCGUAUAAGUUAAUCAAAAACAAUAAAAUUUUAACACAAUGUGUAUAACUACAUAAAGGAAGGUUGGGAUUGAUUUUGGGGGUUAUGGUCCAAUCGGUUUAAGAAUAAGGGGCCCAAAAGGUCCAAAAACAUACAUUUAUCUAGGUUCAGGACAAUAAGUUGUGUAUAAGUAUUUCAAUUACUCUGAAAAUUGAAUAUGCCUUUGUUUUGAAAUGCUUCGAAAAUUAUGUUCUUCAUGUUAUAAUGCUUUAAGUAAUUUCCUCGGACCUUUUAAGUACCAUUAAGUAGAUGUUUGGAAUUUAUUUUAAGGGUUACGGGGCUAACAGUCUAUGAAUUAAGGGACAAAAAGAGGCAAAAAAUAAGCAUUUUUAAAGUUUAGGGACAAUUACUUAUGUUUAACUGUAUGGAUCUUUCUUACAUUGUACCACAAGGUUCCAUAUAAAGAAGGGAAGGCUUGAUGUCAGUUUGGGGUUAAUAUCCCUGAACAUUUAGGAAUAAGGGGCAAAAAAAGGGCCAAAAAGAAGCAUUUUUCUAGUUUACAGACAAUAACUUGUGUUUAAGUGUAUGGAUCUCUCUGAAAUUAUACUACAAGGUACCUUACUACAAAUGAAAGGCUGGAAUUGAGUUUUGAGGUUCUUGCUCCAAGGGGGGUUUCAAUGAGUGAGGGGCCAAAAAGGGGGCCUGAUAAGCAUGUUUGUAGUUUCAGUCAACAACUUGUGUUUUUAAAAGUGUAUAAAUCUCUGAAAUUAUAUCACAAAUUUCCAUACUACAAAGGGAUGGUUAUAGGGGGAAAUGGAUCAAAUCAUUAAGCAAUUAGGGGCAAAAAAAGUGGGGGGACGGGUUUUUCUGGUUAAAUGACAAUUUAGACAAUUUAAAAGCAGUGUAAGGGAGGUAAUCCAAUUAAGAUUUAAAGAAUACUGUUAUACAUAUGUUUGAUUACUUGAUUACCUCCCUUACACUGCUUGAAAACUAUGUUAAAGGAAGUGAUAAUUGUCUUGAGAUGUGUAUAUUCUUCAAAUAUUUUUUUUGAGGGGAUUUAUAUUCAACAGCAUAGUGUUUGGUCAGAAGCCAAAAAAAAAUGUUAAAGUUCAUUAGACCACAUUCACUCUGUGUCAGAAACCUUUGCUGUGUCAACUAUUUAAUCACAAUCCAAAUUCAGAGCUGUAUCAAGCUUGAAUGUUGUGUCCAUAGUUACCCCAACUGAUCAGGGUUCGACCUCUGCGGUCGUAUAAAGCUGCGCCCUUCAGAGCAUCUGGUUUUAAAAAAAAAAAGGAAAAAAAGGGUGCGGUCGUAUAAAGCUGUCCCCUUUUGAGCAUCUGGUUUUAAAAAAAUGCAAAAAAGGGCGGGGGAGAGGGAGGUCGAUUUGCAACAGCAUAGUGUAUUGCACAAAAGCACAAAAAUGAAUAUAAAUUCAAAUCACAUAACCAAUUUAAGUUCUUUGACAUAAUUAUUCUGUGUAAAAUAUUUAUUUACAAUCCAAUUUCUGACCUGUAUUAAGUGCUAUUAUUGUGUCCAUUUUUGCCCCCAACUGUUCAGGGUUGGACCUCUGCGGUCGUAUCAAGCUGCGCUCAGCGAAGCAAUUUAUUAUAGUUAUGUAUCUAGCAUUGGUUUACUUAAGGUGUCAUACCUCAAAUUUAGAGCCUACUCGGCCAAAAAAUAGUGCAUUUGAUGUCAUUGUUCACCAUAACUAACCAACAAAUUUGCAGAAAUGAAAGUUUUGUUGAAAGAGAAAUAUAUUAAGACCAUUUUAAGCCAAAAUUUACCUGUUUAUGAGUUUGCAUUAAAAAUUGAGGAUUAAUGCGCUCCAUAGUAUACUAAUUUAAGAUUUCCAGAAAACCAGGGGUUAUUUUUAGUGGUACCUCCUUUCGGAAGCUCUCUUCUUUCUUAUAUGAUUUUGAAUGUAUGUUGAAAAUUGGCAUGCAGAAAGGUGACACCUGAACGAUUCAGGAUAUACCUAGUUUCUAUGAAGUUAAACUUAAGGUAAAAUAUUUAGAAAGCUGUGAAAAUUGCAAAAUUUGGUUGAACAGAUAGGGACUUUUAAUUGGUGGUAUGACACCUUAAUGUAUGAUACAAAAUAUUGUCAUGGAAUUCUAUUUUAUUUUUGUACUUUUUAAGAGACUCACUAAUGCUUGUAAUAUAAAUAGUGUGUGUAUUUUUUUUAAAGCACCACAGAGCUGAGUCUG